UACGGAGGAUCCGAGCGUUAUCCGGAUUUAUUGGGUUUAAAGGGUGCGCAGGCGGGAGAUUAAGUCGGCGGUGAAAUUUCGCAGCUUAACUGUAAAAGUGCCUUCGAAACUGGUUUCCUUGAGUGUAGAUGAAGUAGGCGGAAUUUGUGGUGUAGCGGUGAAAUGCAUAGAUAUCACGAGGAACUCCGAUUGCGCAGGCAGCUUACUAAACUACUACUGACGCUCAGGCACGAAGGCGUGGGGAUCAAACAGGAUUAGAUACCCUGGUAGU
rnacentral:rRNA from 1 species